UUGUAGCUCAACGGAUAGAGCGUCUGUCUCCUAUAAUUUAUAAUAGAAGGUUGUGGGUUCGAAUCCCACUA
rnacentral:ncRNA from 11 species